rnacentral:rRNA from 1 species
AUGAGGGGGGGGGGGUUCUGGAAUGUGAGAGGCAUUAGGCAAGAUCACAAAAAAAGGUAUAUUAGAGAGAUGAUCAUAGAUCAUAGGUUGGACUUUGUGGGGAUUUCUGAGACUAUUAAACAAGACUUUACCAAAAAUGAAUUGCAUAAUUUGUGUGGGAAAAAAAAUUACCAAUGGUGCUGGAACCCCCCAAGAGGAAUGUCAGGGGGGAUACUAGUGAGCAUUAAUAAAGAUAUGUUUGAUGUUGAACACAUUGAAAAAGGGCAAUAUUUCCUGAGAGUUUUAAUUUUUGACAAGAAUAUUAAAAUGCACUGGAAUUUAGUCACAGUAUAUGGGGAUGCACAGAAAGAAGGGAAAGCUAGUUUCCUUGCUGAAUUAGCCAGACUAUAUCAUGACAAUCCUCUCCCCUGUUUGGUUGGAGGGGAUUUCAACAUUAUAAGAAACAACAGAGAGAAAAACAAACCUAUGGUAAAUGAACAUUGGUCCUUUUUGUUCAAUGCUAUUAUUGAACAAGCUGGAUUAAGAGAGCUUCCUUUGAAUGGUAGACAAUACACCUAG